rnacentral:rRNA from 1 species
AUUGAACGCUGGCGGCAUGCUUUACACAUGCAAGUCGAACGGUAACAGGCCGCAAGGUGCUGACGAGUGGCGAACGGGUGAGUAAUGCAUCGGAACGUGCCCAGUCGUGGGGGAUAACGCAGCGAAAAUUGCGCUAAUACCGCGUACGAUCUAUGGAUGAAAGCGGGGGACCGUAAGGCCUCGCGCGAUUGGAGCGGCCGAUGUCAGAUUAGGUAGUUGGUGGGGUAAAGGCUCACCAAGCCGACGAUCUGUAGCUGGUCUGAGAGGACGACCAGCCACACUGGGACUGAGACACGGCCCAGACUCCUACGGGAGGCAGCAGUGGGGAAUUUUGGACAAUGGGCGCAAGCCUGAUCCAGCAAUGCCGCGUGCAGGAAGAAGGCCUUCGGGUUGUAAACUGCUUUUGUACGGAACGAAACGGUCCUGGUUAAUACCCGGGGCUAAUGACGGUACCGUAAGAAUAAGCACCGGCUAACUACGUGCCAGCAGCCGCGGUAAAAC